GGGUUGUGAGGUUAAGCGACUAAGCGUACACGGUGGAUGCCCUGGCAGUCAGAGGCGAUGAAGGGCGUGCUAAUCUGCGAUAAGCGCCGGUAAGGUGAUAUGAACCGUUAUAACCGGCGAUACCCGAAUGGGGAAACCCAGUGUGAUUCGUCACACUAUCAUUAACUGAAUCCAUAGGUUAAUGAGGCGAACCGGGGGAACUGAAACAUCUAAGUACCCCGAGGAAAAGAAAUCAACCGAGAUUCCCCCAGUAGCGGCGAGCGAACGGGGAGGAGCCCAGAGCCUGAAUCAGCAUGUGUGUUAGUGGAAGUGUCUGGAAAGGCGCGCGAUACAGGGUGACAGCCCCGUACACAAAAGCGCAUGUGCUGUGAGCUCGAUGAGUAGGGCGGGACACGUGGUAUCCUGUCUGAAUAUGGGGGGACCAUCCUCCAAGGCUAAAUACUCCUGACUGACCGAUAGUGAACCAGUACCGUGAGGGAAAGGCGAAAAGAACCCCGGCGAGGGGAGUGAAAAAGAACCUGAAACCGUGUACGUACAAGCAGUGGGAGCCCCACCACUAAGCCGGUGGUGAACUCCACAUACGCAUCCUUUGCUGAGGAUACGGUUAACGGAGCGAAAGCGACGUUCAACCGCAAAAGAAGCAGAGGGGGCUUAGUGGUGGGGUGACUGCGUACCUUUUGUAUAAUGGGUCAGCGACUUAUAUUCUGUAGCAAGGUUAACCGAAUAGGGGAGCCGGAGGGAAACCGAGUCUUAAU
rnacentral:rRNA from 1 species